AGAGUUUGAUCCUGGCUCAGGAUGAACGCUAGCGGCAGGCUUAAUACAUGCAAGACGAACGGUAAGUAGUGUAGCAAUACAUUGCCUAGAGCGUCGUACGGGUGCGUAACACGUAUGCAACCUACCUUGUACAGGGGUAUAGCUCGGGGAAACUCGAAUUUACCCCCCAUAAUAUAGUGGAGUGGCAUCACACUACUAUUAAAACUUCGGUGGUACAAGAUGGGCAUGCGUUUGAUUAGUUAGUUGGCAGUGUAAUGGACUACCAAGACGAUGAUCAAUAGGGGACCUGAGAGGGUGAUCCCCCACACUGGCACUGAGAUACGGGCCAGACUCCUACGGGAGGCAGCAGUAGGGAAUAUUGGACAAUGGGUGAGAGCCUGAUCCAGCCAUGCCGCGUGCAG
rnacentral:rRNA from 1 species